rnacentral:tRNA from 1 species
CGUCGCCUGCGGGGGCGAUGCCGGCGGCGGCCACGAUCCGGCGGGCGAUGUCAGCCCACUGGGCGUCGGUGAGGAUCGGGUCUUCGGGUGCGGC